AGGUAUGCUUAGUACGGCGAGUGAAGCGGCAAAAGCUCAAAUUUGAAAUCUGGUACCUUCGGUGCCCGAGUUGUAAUUUGGAGAGGGCAACUUUGGGGCCGUUCCUUGUCUAUGUUCCUUGGAACAGGACGUCAUAGAGGGUGAGAAUCCCGUGUGGCGAGGAGUGCGGUUCUUUGUAAAGUGCCUUCGAAGAGUCGAGUUGUUUGGGAAUGCAGCUCUAAGUGGGUGGUAAAUUCCAUCUAAAGCUAAAUAUUGGCGAGAGACCGAUAGCGAACAAGUACAGUGAUGGAAAGAUGAAAAGAACUUUGAAAAGAGAGUGAAAAAGUACGUGAAAUUGUUGAAAGGGAAGGGCAUUUGAUCAGACAUGGUGUUUUGUGCCCUCUGCUCCUUGUGGGUAGGGGAAUCUCGCAUUUCACUGGGCCAGCAUCAGUUUUGGUGGCAGGAUAAAUCCAUAGGAAUGUAGCUUGCCUCGGUAAGUAUUAUAGCCUGUGGGAAUACUGCCAGCUGGGACUGAGGACUGCGACGUAAGUCAAGGAUGCUGGCAUAAUGGUUAUAUGCCGCCCGUCUUAAAAACCAGCGGGAACAAAUA
rnacentral:rRNA from 1 species